AUAUGUAAGUGGAAACACAUCUUUCAUGAUUUAAAUUAAAUUUUGAAGUCUAAAACAUUCGUUUAAAGUAAAAUUAUAGCUAUUUGAAUAUAAUAAAAAUAUUAAAUAAAAUAUUCUAUUUUCUUAAAACACAAUAUUUUCAAAGUCUUCCUAAAAUAACUUUUAUAGCACAAGAGUAAAAUAAAUUUAUUCAUAUAGUAAUAAAGAUAAUUAAAGUAUGAAAUUUCGUUUACAAUGACACGUGGGCCCCCAACUAACCAAGAAGGUGUAGAGCUACGAACCCUUACUUCCUAUGAUGCAACUCCGAGAUUAAUUCUCGUCUUAAUCAACUAUCAACAAACUGUCCUAAGCCUGAAAAAUGGAUAGGAAGAAGGGUGAGAUUAAAUAAUCCCAAUGAGUAAACAAUUACCAUCAAAAGCAUCUAAAGCCAAGUAGAUGGAGACAAUAUAAAAACGUUAUAUCUCAAUAAUGUUCAUAACACAAAUUUUGCUUCAAUCUAUACCAAACAAUUUAUUUUCAUCAAAAUUUCUCGGCUUAUGAAUUUCUUAAACUUGGCCCCUGCCAGAAUCAUUCUCGCAGGUACCUUCGUCAAGGUAUCCCACUAAGACCGCCAAGGCUGUUUAAUGACCCAUACCCAUAAACAUCUUUUCACUUCUAACACACAGCCGUUCCUUGGCGUUGGCUGAGUCUCACUCUCACGUGGUGGCCCGAACGUGAGGUGCACUCAAAUCAUACAUCAGGAGAUACUUCAUCCAACAUCUCCCCCCGGAGGUAGUUAUAUAAUUGAGUUACCGUGCCCCUCUCAUAGGCAGUCCACGGAAACCCCCACCACUGCAGUGACCGUGAGGUGCAUUCAAAUCUUACCUCAGGAGAUACUUCAUCCAACAUCUACCCCCGGAGGUAAAUAUAUAAUUGGGUUACCGUGCCCCUUUCAUAGGCAGUCCACGGAAACCCCCACCACUACAGUGACCGUUUAAUAUACCACCAGACCCAUAAAAAUUCCAGUGGCAUAAUAUGGCGAAUAAAAUGUAAUUCAGUCUAUCGAGACAAAUCCAAAACUAUUCACAUAUUUCAUGCCAACCCCAAAAAUUUAGCCAUCAUGCUACCAUAGUGUCAUAAGCCCCAAUUUCAAUAACAUAUAAAAUCAUAAAUUUCAACACAGUCUCCAUAUACUUAAUUUUCCCAAAACAAUAUUUGAUUUCAAAACCAGUAUAAAUCUCAUUUUUAUUAAAAAAAACAUUUUAAUUAGAAAACAUAAUAUUUAAUAAUUUAAGCUCACCAUUCAAUAAAAGCAUCAAACAAGUAUAAUAACUCUAGAUAUUUAAGACGAUAAGUUGUCCACUCACAGUUCUAGGAGUCGAUGUACUCCUAAUCCCAGUCUUCAAGCACAAUUUUUGUACUUUUACCAG
rnacentral:lncRNA from 1 species